GCUCCAUGCAGCGUGGCUCCCCCAGGCUGGGCCUGUCUGUGCUGGAGGCUCAGAGAGGAGACUCUGAGGAGGCUGAGACUGUCAGCGCCAUGGCCUCUCUCUCUGUGGCCAACAAACAGAGCAGGUCGGAGGAGGAACCCAUGGAGGAGGAAGCACCAUUAUAGCGGGGGAAGCAUAAGGGCGUCGUACCGUGACUGUCGGCCUCUGCAGCUCGGAAGACUACCUUCUGGAGAGUCUCGACUGUCCCUUUCAUUUAGUCCCUCCGCGCCGUGCCUAUCACCUUGAUUGGCAGCUCCUCUGCCAAUGAGAGAGAGGGAUGGGCUUCAGAGUAGGGAGUCAAUGGGGAUACGAUAUGAAGGACGAAGUGACAAAGCGCUGCAGCCAGGCAGCUCAGCGUGGUCAGCUCACCGUGACUCUAAAGAGACGUUUGUUUCUGCCAGUCAGACUGAGGCAGCCCCAGAAGACACCCCAGCACCGAGGCAGUGGGUUCUCGGAGUGGAGGCGGAUAAUGGAAGUGUUACUCCUGAAGGGAAAGAUCUGCUGCUUUACAGAGCUCCCCCGUGGCCAAAUAUGGAGACAGAGGACAGGACAAGUCCGGCUGUCACACACAGCGUGGACAUUUAUUUUCUCUCCUGCUUUUGUCCCCCUAAAUGGAGGACAUGCUACUGAUGGAGAUGGUAGUUACUGAUGAGAGAUGGAGGACAACAAAGCCCCAAGGAGAAUUGUCGGGCUGUCAUUGGCUGAGGACAGUAGACUUGACUGUGGUUGGCUGUUGAGCAAGCGGCCUUUGCCGUUAUUAGAUGAUGAGGCUAUUGGAUCUUUGCCUUAUUGAUGCAGCUGGUAGUUCUGUGAUGGUCCACCAAUGAGAGAGUGCCUUUGUGAAGCUCUGAUGGAUUUCAGGAUUGUGUCAGAAAUGAAGAUUGCCUUAAAUGAUGAUCCUGACCAGGGGAGAGAGAGAGAAAUACAUUUUCCUGUUUGACAGAGGUCGGGAUGGUGGAAAAAAUGAUCUUUCAGCAUGUUUACCAGGAUUGUGAUGUAGACAGCGUUUGUCUCUCACAGCCUCUUUUAGAGGUCAUUAUACCUUUGGAUUGAUAUAUUUUUCUGUAAAAAUGCUUCAAAAAGGUAGUUGCAAGCAAACAUUUGAAACGUUCAACUAACAGUUGAUUCGUAAAGCACUGUUGAAGGUUAGCAUUUAGCCUUAUGUAGCUUCCCUUUAUCACAUAACCAAUCGCUAACGGAGAAAAAGCAUGUCUCACCAGAAAGACCUGUCGGUUGCAAGGUUAGAAAGUUAUCCAAAAAGAACUAGUCGAGCAAAAAAAAAGCCAAAGCACGAGUUUGCAUCCAGCUCUUUCGUACCACUAGUAACAGCAGGCAUACACAGUAUUACUACUGGCUUUUCAUACCAAGCACACUGUUCGAGAGCUAACGGAUCAAACAUGUAUGUCUCAACCUUUUUGUGAAAUAAUUAUUGAAUUCCAAUGUAUUGUUUGGCAACUACCUUAGUUAAUAGUUACUAUGAACAUCUUGUCAUGUAUAUUGAAUUGAACAUAUUGUGAAGCCAAGUGUUAAUUUGCCAUCUUUGAAACUAUCAUUUCCACAUCAAGCUCGUCAAUUGACUAAACCAUCAUCAACUUUUUCUUAAUCAACGAUCUCAAGUGGGUGACAAUUCUAUUUUUGGCAUGUAUGAAAAUCUCUAGUUUUGAACAUACUUUUUAUAUUUGUGUAUUUGUCCUUUUGCGUUGUUACUCUGUACAGUUGAUGUGCCACUCGCUCUUAGUGUCCUCAUCAUGCAUUGGGAUGGAGAUCAGCCUUUCUACCCUAUACCAUGAUUCCAGCAAUUGUCUAUUUACUUACAGAAUGAUCCAGUUUACAGAGAGGUUCUACAUGGAAAACCUAGAAAUAUAUUAUAUCCGUAGCCUACAUGAGAGCUAUGACGUUGUGAAAGAGAAUAGCUAUGGCAAAGAUGGUCUCACUCCAGUAAAUAACUCUAAAAACCUUAUGUGGGGGGUUGAGGUUGACUGCACUGUUUUAAACUGGCCCUGGUUGGAACAGCCCCUGCACUCAGCAGCACUGUAUGUGGUCUCUGUUCCACACAUCACUCUGAACACAAAAAGGGGAACACACUGAUUUGUUUUUCUACUGUAUUGUUCCUGGCUGCACUGUAGCUAGACUAGACUAGCAUGGGGCAUUUUAAAGACACUUUGCUUUCGCGUUUGACUCCAUUGGGACCAACCAAAAUGACAUACCGAGGUUACUUUUGACACCAUAACACACUGUUGUUGAUUUGACAGCAUGGUUACUGCUGUCCUGCCAUGGUUACUGCUGUGUUGCCAUGGUUACUCUACAUUAGCAUACCUCGACUUCAGAAAAUGUUGUGACAUCACUUCUUCCUGUCGUAGCUACAUUAGUCGAGUUGUCAAGAAACCGGAGUCAUGAUAUUAGUGGGUUGGCAUGGUCUCAUUAUAGUUCAAACUAUUCUCAUCCCUAGUAAAUAACUCCUUUUAGUUUUCAAUAAUGUUCCUACACUAAUUUUGGUAGUAUCAUGUUUCCUUUUCAUGAUUUAGUAAACAUUCUAUGUUUUGCUUUGUGUUUGCUCUCAGAUUCACCAUUCCUAUGAAUAGUUUCAGAGCCCCAGGGUUUGGUAUGUUCCUUUAAAAAACAUUUCUUUAACGGCCUCUAAUUCUCUGCAUGGUUUGUCUGUCCGCAUGCCUGUCUGGCUGUACGUCUGUGUAACACUGGAUUUGCACAGUAGAAGAAAACUAGAGGACUAAAUCCUAUCCCAGAAAACCCAGUGUGAAUGUCUCUUCUUCUUUGGUGUACUAAGGAUACAAAGGACUUGUCAAAAUGAAUUCCACAUUAGAUUUUUUAAAAAUAAUUAUAUGCUCAGUUUUUGUAGGGAAAUUACCAAGCACUUAAACAAGAUAAUGGACAAUAGACUUGACUGUGUUUAGAGUAAGAGGAAAUAUGGAUUAGCUAGGCUAAUCUCUGAGUGUAUUUAUGCUGGCUUCACAUGCUCAUGGGAAAUGGGGAAGUGGAACAAUUAGGUCCGACAUGAUUGUGUUUAAGUGCUUUUGAAGUCAGAAAAAUUCUUCAACCAAUAGGAUUUUAGCUAGCUUAUCAAGGUUGCUAAUAAUAAAGUUAGCUAAUAAUAAAGUUAGCUAUCUUAUCAAGGUUGCUAAUAAUAAAGUUAGCUAUCUUAUCAAGGUUGCUAAUAAUAAAGUUAGCGAGUUUAUCAAGGUUGCUAAUAAUAAAGUUAGCUAGCUUAUCAAGGUUGCUAAUAAUAAAGUUAGCUAGAUUGCUGAACAUUGACAAUAUGGUGAGGUCGUAGUUGUCAAACUGAUUUGUUAUUUUUUGGUUGAAAAGGUCAAAGGUCAGUGGUGAAACAUAACUCACCAACCUGGGCAACAACAUUUUCAGAGUUUCCCACUUGAAAUUCCGACUUGGAGGUUCGCUCAAGUGAAACUUCUCAGUUGGAAAUAGGAACUUCCGAUACCACAUGAACGUGGCAUUACAUCCAUCUAGACUGCUUGUCUCUCCCCUAAGAGUGUUUCUAGGGUGUUGGGGACAGACACAAAAAGUAGACAAUGGCUAAAACAUCCUUUAAAACACUCCAGAUGUGGUUGAUUGGGAAGCGAAUUUUCUGCAGACUCUUAUCCACUUAAGCCAGUUGUAUUUAAAACCACUGUGGUUAAAAAGAGCUAUUCUCGGUUUACAUAUGUAAAUGUUAGUUAUUUUUGUUUUCUUUCCAUUCCAUUGUAACAAAUGAUAUCUUGUUGGGACCGAUAUGCUUUUGACAUUUUGUCUCAGACAUAAACUCUAAAAUAUAUUUCUGAAAAAUGAA